rnacentral:rRNA from 1 species
UACGUAGGUGGCAAGCGUUUUCCGUUUUUACUGGGCGUAAAGAGCGCGCAGGCGGUCGUUCAAGUCGAGUGUGAAAGCCCCCGGCUCAACUGGGGAGGGUCACUCGAUACUGAUCGACUCGAAGGCAGGAGAGGGAAGUGGAAUUCCCGGUGUAGUGGUGAAAUUCGUAGAUAUUCGGAAGAACACCAGUGGCGAAGGCGACUGACUGGACAAGUAUUGACGCUGAGGUACGAAAGCGUGGGGAGCAAACAGG